AGCUUAGGUCCUGUUUACCAUCCAGUAUUUAAACAACACGAUGUGUGAUGUGUAGUUCAUAGGUAUUGUUGCAAAUACAAGACUGUUGCAAGAAUGAUUCGGACGCUGUUUGUGGCAACCAUGCUGUUGUGUUUGUUCACACCAGGUGUUAUUGGCGAUCAUAAAUGGCCAUGGGAUUGCCAUGGGUAUGACCCGGUAUGUGGGGUUGAUGGCAAAACCUACGGGAACAUGUGCGAACUCCGACGCGCAGGUGUAAGUCUGGCUUAUAAAGGGGUCUGUAAAUACGGAGGAUACGGAGGAUGAGCAAUCAACGAUACAAGCUUUCACAGAAGAAAAUAUGAAAAAGCUAUAGUUAUACUACACUAUGUAUUUUGUGUUAUAUAACUUUUUUUUCUUAUUAAAGAAUUUCCAAUGAA